rnacentral:miRNA from 1 species
GUGUGGCCGGCAGGCGGGUGG